AAUACGGAAAAAACCUUUUUUAUAUCCAAAUUUUCAUAGGUGGCAAAAUUUGAAUUGAAGCUUUAGGUUUAAUCUCAAAUAGCGUUUAGUGAAUGUAUUUUUUUAAUUCCCUUUUUUUAUGCAAUUAAUCAAAAAACGAAGCUACAUUUUUGAAAAGUCAUAAAUGAUGUUCCAUUAUUAUAAAUUAAAGUUAUUUUUGUUUUCGAUUUAGCAGCCGAUUUGACAGUCCGAAAGACAGGCAAAUGUUGAGGUUAUCUGAUCUUCCUAAAACUUGUUACACAGUGUUAUUAUAAGUGCAAAAAGCAGGCAUUUGGUGUGUGUGUUCUUUGGGUUAGUCGUUGUGUUAAUACAAACUUAAGAAAACUAAGAUAAGGAGCAAACUUAAAAACCUUUGACGCCGCUUUGGGACGCACAACCAUCAUCAGUUUCUGUAGUACUUGUACGAAAGCAGUUGGCGAAGAAUAGAAAGAUUUAAGCUCCAAACAACUUACCCAUGGAUUUUUGGAACCAAAUUGGUUUGUUCUUCCAGGCAAUGAAUAACAAAUAGACCGGUAUGCUGGAUAGUAUCAUGAGGAUGCCAUAGCCUGUCUCCACAGGACUCGCGUACAUGGGCACAACGGUUACGAAUACUGUGGCAAUCAGACUUACCCAAGUGGCAAAGCCCACAUAGUUGAUGAGCGCAAAGAUAUCGGAGACAGUCAGGUACAACAUGGAAAGCAGCGCCAUUGCCAGGAUAGCCGGAGUGGGCGUAAAGCGUUGAAUUUGAAUCAUGGUUAGAAUUUCUGGCAUCUGACCAUUAUUGGCGCCAGCGUAGAACAGACGCGAGGAGACAGACAGUCAGUCUCUUAUUGAAGUACGCACCUGGUAUGGUCCAGGCCAGCAUGCC